rnacentral:rRNA from 1 species
AUUGAACGCUGGCGGAAUGCUUUACACAUGCAAGUCGAACGGCAGCACGGGGGCAGCCCUGGUGGCGAGUGGCGAACGGGUGAGUAAUACAUCGGAACGUGCCCGGUCGUGGGGGAUAACGUAGCGAAAGUUACGCUAAUACCGCAUACGAUCUGAGGAUGAAAGCGGGGGACCUUCGGGCCUCUCGCGAUCGGAGCGGCCGAUGUCCGGUUAGGUAGUUGGUGGGGUAAAGGCCUACCAAGCCGACGAUCGGUAGCUGGUCUGAGAGGACGACCAGCCACACUGGGAGUGAGACACGGCCCAGACUCCUACGGGAGGCAGCAGUGGGGAAUUUUGGACAAUGGGCGGAAGCCUGAUCCAGCCAUUCCGCGUGCAGGACGAAGGCCUUCGGGUUGUAAACUGCUUUUGUACGGAACGAAAAGGCUCUGGCUAAUACCUGGGGCUCAUGACGGUACCGUAAGAAUAAGCACCGGCUAACUACGUG